rnacentral:tmRNA from 1 species
GGGGGCGUAAAGGUUUCGACGGGGAUUCUAAAGUACGUUAAGCGGGCAGAGGUGCGGAAGCUCUUUAAAACGCCGCAAUUUUAAAAUUAAACGCUAACAAUAAUAAAUUAGCUUACGCCGCCUAACUUUGGCGGCCGUCAUACCAAUGAGGACUGCGGCUUUGGAUAUGGCGUCAUUUUGCAGUGAACGUGAACGGAAAUAAGCUUUGACGUCCGUCAUGAACCAAUGAAGCUACUCUUUGAGAGCUGCCUGUCUGUCGGUGCUCUUAAAGGGGAAAUUUAACGACAGACUACGCUCGUAGAAAGAUGUGCGGCAGGGUUUUCGGACAGGAGUUCGACUCUCCUCGCCUCCACCA